GAAGCCCUUCGGGGUGGAUUAGUGGCGAACGGGUGAGUAACACGUGGGCAAUCUGCCCUUCACUCUGGGACAAGCCCUGGAAACGGGGUCUAAUACCGGAUAAUACUUUCUCCCUCCUGGGAGAAGGUUGAAAGCUCCGGCGGUGAAGGAUGAGCCCGCGGCCUAUCAGCUAGUUGGUGGGGUAAUGGCCUACCAAGGCGACGACGGGUAGCCGGCCUGAGAGGGCGACCGGCCACACUGGGACUGAGACACGGCCCAGACUCCUACGGGAGGCAGCAGUGGGGAAUAUUGCACAAUGGGCGAAAGCCUGAUGCAGCGACGCCGCGUGAGGGAUGACGGCCUUCGGGUUGUAAACCUCUUUCAGCAGGGAAGAAGCGAAAGUGACGGUACCUGCAGAAGAAGCGCCGGCUAACUACGUGCCAGCAGCCGCGGUAAUACGUAGGGCGCAAGCGUUGUCCGGAAUUAUUGGGCGUAAAGAGCUCGUAGGCGGCUUGUCACGUCGGUUGUGAAAGCCCGGGGCUUAACCCCGGGUCUGCAGUCGAUACGGGCAGGCUAGAGUGUGGUAGGGGAGAUCGGAAUUCCUGGUGUAGCGGUGAAAUGCGCAGAUAUCAGGAGGAACACCGGUGGCGAAGGCGGAUCUCUGGGCCAUUACUGACGCUGAGGAGCGAAAGCGUGGGGAGCGAACAGGAUUAGAUACCCUGGUAGUCCACGCCGUAAACGUUGGGAACUAGGUGUUGGCGACAUUCCACGU
rnacentral:rRNA from 1 species